GUGGGGAAUUUUGGACAAUGGGCGAAAGCCUGAUCCAGCCAUGCCGCGUGAAGGAUGAAGGCGUUAUGCGUUGUAAACUUCUUUUGUAUGGGAAGAAUGACAGGGAUUCAUCCUUGGAGAGACGGUACCAUACGAAUAAGCACCGGCUAACUCCGUGCCAGCAGCCGCGGUAAUACGGAGGGUGCAAGCGUUAUCCGGAAUCACUGGGUUUAAAGGGUACGUAGGCGGAUAAAUAAGUCAGUGGUGAAAUCAACGGGCUCAACCUGUUAACUGCCAUUGAUACUGUGUAUCUUGAAUAUGAGAGAGGUAGGCGGAAUGUUGCAUGUAGCGGUGAAAUGCUUAGAUAUGCUACGGAACACCGAUUGCGAAGGCAGCUUACUAUUUCGUAAUUGACGCUGAGGCACGAAAGCGUGGGUAGCGAACAGGAUUAGAAACCCCUGUAGUCC
rnacentral:rRNA from 1 species